AUUGUCCAAACGCAAUUCUCGAGUCUCUGGCUCCGGCCGAGAGUUGCGUCUGGACGUCCCGAGCCGCCGCCCCCAAACCUCGAGGGGGAGAGGCCGGGCGGAGCG
ensembl:lincRNA Gm26940 predicted gene, 26940